AGGCCAGGCUAACAGGGAUUGCUGAUGGGGAAAUAAAUGAUCAAGGAUGAAUUGUAGAUUUGGGGCUUGAGCAAAGAGUCUAUCAUCUAUGUAGAACUGAAGAUGACAGAAGACAUCAAAGGAGGAUGGGGGCUUCCAGGAAGAGUCAGUGAGAUGUGCUGAGUAGGAAGAUAUGUAGAAAAUUGUUGAACACGUCUGACAAUAGAAGACCUAAGGCCUAAGAAGUCCAUUUCAAUGAAUCACAAAAGAAAUCAAAGAACAGAAUUUCUCUUUUGAAGUAUUGCUUUAUUAAGU